rnacentral:tRNA from 1 species
GAUGGGAUAGCUCAAGUGGUAGAGCACAUGCUUAGCAUGCAUGAGGUCCUGGGUUCAAUCCUCAGUACCUCCU